AUGCGUGCUAUGUUUGGCUAGGCAGACGAUGAACAAAUAGAGCCGGGUAUGAACGUAUGGCACAAGAUCUAACCAGCUUUUUCCGGGAUACCAGCAAGCGCUACAGCUGUUGCGCCGUCUUGUUACAGAAGGACUGGGCAUCCGCAGACACAAGUGCAGUCCUUCAACCACUGCUGGUGUCAAGUGCAGGAAAAUAACAAGGGGCUCACAGAUUUUUUACAGAGCAGCCGAGACAGCAUAAUGCUGGAUUGUAACUCUGUUGUUACAGUGUCUUUCACCAAGCACAGCUGUUCCGGGGACGGCCACGUGCUGUCUUUUUGCCUGUUUGCUACGGUCGACACGGUGGAGGCAGGUCGUGACAUUGCACGGACGGCUGGACACCGAAGCGACGCAGGCUGACCAUCAACCUUCUCAAGGGUGACCCAUCUUCAGCCUCCUGACCUGAGAAGCCAGUUCCGCCCUCCCUUGGCCACUGUGUCGAAGUUUCUGCGAAGCACCUUCUCGGCAGUGGUGCAGAGAUGCAGAAUGUCUGGGGAUGGACUGUGGAGACCGCCCUUGUCCUUGACACG
rnacentral:lncRNA from 1 species